GUAAAGUAAAUGUACAACACUGGCUUUGUGGAGACAACCUUUUCCUGUGAAAUCUUUCAGACCCGCCUUUGACUCAUCCCCACUCAGAGCGCAGAUUUAAGACUCAGCUUUGGGCCCCAAUCCUCAGUUUCUGCUCCAGUGUCCAACCAGCGUGAAAGCAGCGUCACAGCAGCACCAGGGCCACAAGAAGCAGCAGCCUCCAGAAACAUGAGCCGCAACUCCAUCAGCACCAACCAGGAACUGCGCUUUGGAGAGUACAUCCAGAGUCUCAACGAUGAGUACUACACCAUAAUGCAGGCUGAUAGUAACCUGGUGACG